rnacentral:rRNA from 1 species
GACGUAGGGGGCGAGCGUUGUCCGGAAUUACUGGGCGUAAAGAGCACGUAGGCGGGAACCUAAGUCAGGUGUGAAAGACCGUGGCUCAACCACGGGGUGGCAUUUGAAACUGGGUUUCUUGAGGGCAGGAGAGGAAAGCAGAAUUCCUGGUGUAGCGGUGAAAUGCGUAGAAAUCAGGAGGAAUACCAGUGGCGAAGGCGGCUUUCUGGACUGACCCUGACGCUGAGGUGCGAAAGCGUGGGUAGCAAAC